rnacentral:lncRNA from 1 species
AGAGGUUAAGAAAAUAUUUUUGUAUUUUUUGAAUAUCGGAAACUAUUUAAAAUGAAUUAAAAAUAACCAGAAAAGAGAAAAUUCACAAAAAACAUCAAAUGACAAAACAAAAAAAUAUUAAAAAUCAUUUUUAGAAACUAGAAAUUAAAAGGAAAAUAAUGCAAUUGGUCCCAUAUUUUUUGGAAUUAAAAUGAGAGAGAUAUGAUUUUUUGAAAUAAA